GCAGAGUGAGAAGCCUGGCGCUCCGACGACCUCCCAUCAUAAAAACAAAGUCUGCGCCACCUGUCUCUGUGGAUGAUGGGCGUCUUGCACUGAUGCAGGCGAGCCACGGCCUCGCAGGUGUCGCAGAAGAUGUGGAGGACCUCGGCCUCGCUGAAGCCCACGUUCAGCCGCUGGUUCAUCUGCUUCACCACCUGACCCGCUGCAAGAAGAAGAAAAGACUUCAACACGAGCUGAGCAACCAGUUCCAGCCCUAAUCAGAGAAACGUUUGCACGUCAACUUAUCUAAUGAGGACCAAACUGCUUGAAAAAAAAAAAAAAA